ACAAAAAUGCGGUGCUUUCAAGCUUGAAUCACUGGCAGCAGCAAGCCAAUCGCACACCAUUACUUUCUGUAUUAGUUAUCUCUGAAGCAUUACCACUGGCGAAUCUGAAUGUAAAAAUAGCUGAUGACUGUUUGUUUCAUCUGUCUGUUACUUGACACCGCAUGGUUAUUCCAAUACGUAUGUUUGCCUCUUCCCCACCAUGAUCUCCGUUUGGCUUCCCCUUGCCUGAUAACUAUUUAAAUACAUUUUACUAACUUUGGAUUCCUUGCUCACUCCACUUCACCUGGCUGGCAGGUCUGUGAGGGCUCAAGGGUUAGCUCCUCCACUUUCAUUUUUUACUUAUUUAUUUUUCAGUGACUGUUCCUAUUAAAAUAACCAUGUUCAGAAGAAGAGUCUGAAACUCGUAAAUAAUGGAAAGUGCUAAUAGUAAGCAGACUGCUGUAAAAUGUGCUGGGACUUUGACUUAAAGGAAGAAAGCACAGCACUGUACUGCCCCUGAUUGGGAAGCUGGAGCACCAAAGACUUGACAGAACUCUUGGCAGGAUGGGGCAUUUGGAGGACAUCGGGAAAGGCAGUCCAGACAGCAGCUGGAAAUAACUGUUGGGUCUUUGCCAUUGAACCAGAAAGGGAAAGGUAGAGAGACUGGUCAUGAUUCUCCAUGGCUGUUUCAAGGAGUCUCUGUUCCCUCCAUUUUUCUUCACAAGGUCUUCAUCUUCCAGUGGCUGAAGGUUUGCGGUCUGAAUGGAAGAGAACUCAAGAUCAAAAAUGCUGAAGAUUGGAAACGUCCCAAUAUACUCCUUCUGUCACAUCUACGUUGUUGGACUGUUUUUACCUCCUCACUAAAGAUGGUCAGAGAUGAAGCCAAAUACAAGCAUGAGAGGAAGUUCUAGAGUUGAGAAGCAAAAUUACAUGGCAGAGGAGAAAGAUUCCUUCACCUGUUCUGUCAGAUGAAUCAAUGUGCAGCAGCACUGUCUGGAGGAAUUCCCUUAUGCUUGUAAAUUGCAAACGACUGGAGCUACCCAACACAGUCAUCUGCCUGCUUGAUACCUGAAAUUACUCAUUUGGAUAAUUC
rnacentral:lncRNA from 1 species